CUUGCAAGACCCAUUCCGGAUUUGUUUGCAACUUAUAUCGGUUUUAACUAUGGGGUAUGUUUUAUAUCAAAACAAAAUAUUAAGCUUGGCAAAUGACUAUUAUAUGUUAAUUUAUGCCUUGGAAGAAUGGUGAUUUUAGUCCCAAAUUGACACAUUUUGAUUUUGAUUUUAAUUAAAUUCUAAACACAAUUGGUACUAAAAUGGCUCAUAAAAUCAUUCGAACAAGUAAAAUCAAUUUGUCUGAAAAAUGAAAUAAGACGUAUUUGUACUGCAAGUCCAAAAAUCAAUAAAUUGUCUGAAACCAGGGAGUCCAUCUUUUAUGCUCUUCCAUUGACUUAUCUCCCUUGGGUAAGAUCUCAAACAUGUCAGCUCCCAGUGAUGGUUUGGCAGACAAAUGUUUACAGUGAAGUUUGUGACUUUAAUAAUCUAGGAUGAGCAUGUGGGCUAUUCCAGCCUUAUACAUCUACAUAUUACAAACUAUUUAAGAUAUCUGAAUGCACUAAAGACCAAAAUAGCAUUUCCAAAAAAAAUAAUUACUGCCAACAUGGCCAAGAAAUUUGACAAUCAUGACAAUAAUUUAGUGAAUAAACAUGAUAAAUAUUGAUUGGAAAAAUAAGUCCAUGAACAGCAAAAAGUGUUUUUAGAUUUCAACGAGCAAAACAAAAGUAUUCUAAAUCAUUCUUCGUAAAAAAAAAAGUGAGCCAGUGGAACCACCUUGCUCGCACCAAAAUUGAGAUUGAGAGUGUCAAAACUGCUCUGGCGCACCAUCAGUAAAUCAACGACACUCUCUCUACGGUAGACUCUACCGUGGUAUUGAAACCAGCAUUGGUAACCAAUUAUAUUUGUACAGAUACAGACUACCAUUCAUCUACAUUUAGGAAGUCUGAAUAAUACUGAAAACUUAAUGGUGUAGAAUUUCCAACAGGACUCCUUAAUUUAUAUAAGACAAGGAGUGGUUUAUUUUCCCAUGGUUGUUACAUCAUUUUGUCUUUGAAUAUGCUCGAAGUACAGGGACUUUUAUGGAAUUCAUUGACAUGAUAGUCAAGCAAGAUGUCAACAUCUCGUCCAACCCUCUUCCAGCAAAGCCAAAGCUGACCAAGGAUCUUCACCCUUUCAAAACAGGCUGUAUACAGGACGAGUUAUUCCAGUAGGAACAGGGCUAUAUAUAUGCAAGCAAUGCUCAAUUAAGAUGAAUUUUUGUAAAAGUGACAAUAGCCAGGUCAAACUAAAUACAUGUAUAGAAGAAGAUAUUGAUCUAGACUCGCAGCUAACCUUUCUGUCAGUGUCAACAACAACUGAUCUUUCACAGCAGUCAACAUCAGAUUGGGAGACUGAUAAUGCUUCUAACAGAAACAAUUUCAACCAACCAAACAAGCAACAGAAACUUUUCAACUUUAAAACAUCAGUUAAAUCUUCCAUGGGAUGUUGUCUCAAAAAAUAACAGUUCAUCAUUUAUGGAGAUUUUAAUGUUAUGGUUUUUCUUUUACAAGAAAGUGAAUGUACACUUGUUUUAUAGUAAAACCUAUAGCUGUUCAAGUAUAAAAAAACACAUUCAACUUUAUUGAAAUUGGAAGAUUCAUAUGACUUAUUUUAAUUCUGUUAUCUCCGAGGAUGUGAUGUAGAGCAUUAUAGGUACAGUAAUCUUAACAGCUAUCCAAUUUCAUUCAAAAUUCUUUAUAAAUUUUGCACUGGUAUAUAUAGACUAAGUAAUUUGUUUUUCGUCUAGUUAUGGGAUUUUUUUAUACCCCACGCAACGAGUUGCGGAGGGUAUAAUGUUUUUGACCCGUCUGUCCGUCCAUCCGUCAGUCCGUCAGUCCUGUUUCUUGUCAUCGCAACUCCUCUCAAACCACACAACAGAAUUUCACGAAACCUUUUUAGAUAAUAAGGACAUACUAUGAAGUUGUGCACAUAGACAGGAAAUUACUAUUCAAGUCUUUUUCUAGGAGUUACGCCCCUUUGAACUUAUUUACUUUAAUGUACUACUGCAACAGUUUGUCAUCCCAACUCCUCUCAAACCACAUGACAGAAUUUCAUGAAACCUUUUCAGAUAAUAAGGACAUACUACGUAGAUGUGCAUAUCGACAGGAAAUUACGAUUUAAUUUUUUUUCCAGGAGUUACGCCCCUUUGAACUUAUUUGCCCAAUAUACUACUGCAACCUUUUGUCAUCGCAACUCCUCUCAAACCACACAACAGAAUUUCAUGAAACCUUUUCAGAUUAUAAGGACAUACUACGUAGAUGUGCAUAUCGACAGGAAAUUACGAUUCAAUUGUUUUUCCAGGAGUUACGCCCCUUUGAACUUAUUUGCCCAAUAUACUAAGGCAACCUUUUGUCAUCGCAACUCCUCUCAAACCACACAACAGAAUUUCAUGAAACCUUUUCAGGUAAUAAGGACAUACUACGUUGAUGUGCAUAUCGACAGGAAAUUACGAUUCAAUUUUUUUUCCAGGAAUUACGCCCCUUUGAACUUAUUUGCCCAAUAUACUACUGCAACCUUUUGUCAUCGCAACUCCUCUCAAACCACACAACAGAAUUUCAUGAAACUGUGUAGAUAAUAAGGACAUACUACGUCGAUGUGCAUAUUGACAGGAAAUUAUGAUUCAAUUUUUUUUUCUGAUACAUUUUUUUUUUCUGACACUUAUUUUAUUUCUCCAAUGACAAUGUUGGGACGUGGGGUAUGUGAGCGCGCUCACUAAGGUUCUUUCAUUUUAAAAGCAUUCAUGAUUUUCAUGUUUGUAUUGACCACAUUGCAGCAACAUAGAUAUAGGUACCUGGCAAAUCUUGCCUUGUUAGCAUACUAGGCUCAAAGGGUCAUAAAAAAAUUUCCAUCACUAACUGUCUGUUAAAAUCAUCUGUUUACAGUUUUCACUUUUAAACCAUCAUCUUAAUAACUUUAGAAGAAGUGUCAUACAUAUAUAUAUAUGUAUACAAAAUUUAAAAACUUUUCAAUAUAUAU